rnacentral:rRNA from 1 species
UACGGGGGCGGAGCAAGCGUUGUUCGGAUUUACUGGGCGUAAAGGCGCGUAGGCGGCGUGACAAGUCACUUGUGAAAUCUCCGGGCUUAACCCGGAACGGUCAGCCGAUACUGCAGGGCUAGAGUGCAGAAGGGGCAACUGGAAUUCUCGGUGUAGCGGUGAAAUGCGUAGAUAUCGAGAGGAACACCUGCGGCGAAAGGCGGGUUGCUGGGCUGACACUGACGCUGAAGUGCGAAAGCUAGGGGAGCGAACGG